UACGAAGGGUGCAAGCGUUGUUCGGAAUUACUGGGCGUAAAGCGCACGCAGGUGGCUGAGUCAGUCGAUUGUGAAAGCCCUGGGCUUAACCUGGGAAUUGCAGUCGAUACUACUCAGCUAGAGUAUGGGAGAGGGUAGUGGAAUUCCCGGUGUAGCGGUGAAAUGCGUAGAUAUCGGGAGGAACAUCAGUGGCGAAGGCGGCUACCUGGCCCAAUACUGACACUCAGGUGCGACAGCGUGGGGAGCAAACAGG
rnacentral:rRNA from 1 species